rnacentral:rRNA from 1 species
ACGAACGCUGGCGGCGUGCUUAACACAUGCAAGUCGAACGGAAAGGCCUGCUUUCCCUUGUGGAUUGCGGGUACUCGAGUGGCGAACGGGUGAGUAACACGUGAGUGAUCUGCCCCCAACUUGGGUAUAAGCCUGGGAAACUGGGUCUAAUUCCCGAUAGGACUGCAGGGUGGUGCCUGUGGUGGAAAACGAUUUUCUAGUGGUUGGGGAUGAGCUCGCGGCCUAUCAGCUUGUUGGUGGGGUAAUGGCCUACCAAGGCGGCGACGGGUAGCCGGCCUGAGAGGGUAGACGGCCAGAUUGGGACUGAGAUACGGCCCAGACUCCUACGGGAGGCAGCAGUGGGGAAUAUUGCACAAUGGGAGGAAGCCUGAUGCAGCGACGCCGCGUGGGGGAUGACGGCCUUCGGGUUGUAAACUCCUUUCGACCGCGAGGAAGCCACCUGGUUGGAAGGGUGGUGACGGUAGUGGUAGAAGAAGCACCGGCUAACUACGUG